GACGAACGCUGGCGGCGUGCCUAAUACAUGCAAGUUGAGCGCUGAAGGUUGGUACUUGUACCAACUGGAUGAGCAGCGAACGGGUGAGUAACGCGUGGGGAAUCUGCCUUUGAGCGGGGGACAACAUUUGGAAACGAAUGCUAAUACCGCAUAAAAACUUUAAACACAAGUUUUAAGUUUGAAAGAUGCAAUUGCAUCACUCAAAGAUGAUCCCGCGUUGUAUUAGCUAGUUGGUGAGGUAAAGGCUCACCAAGGCGAUGAUACAUAGCCGACCUGAGAGGGUGGUCGGCCACAUUGGGACUGGGACACGGCCCAAACGCCUACGGGAGGCAGCAGUAGGGAAUCUUCGGCAAUGGACGGAAGUCUGACCGAGCAACGCCGCGGGAGGGAAGAAGGUUUUCGGGUCGUAAAACUCUGUUGGUAGAGAAGAACGUUGGUGAGAGUGGAAAGCUCAUCAAGUGACGGUAACUACACAGAAAGGGACGGCUAACUACGUG
rnacentral:rRNA from 1 species